rnacentral:rRNA from 1 species
GUCUAUGGCCAUGCCACUCUGAACACGCUCCAUCUCGUCUGAUCUCUAAAGCUAAGCAGGGUUAGGCCUGGUUAGUACUUGGAUGGGAGCCCACCUAGGAAUACCAGGUGCUGUAGGCU